UCUGGUGAUUUUUUUUUAUGAAUUAAAUUAUUUGUAUAUACUGUUAAAUAUGUAUAAAUUAACAAAGAUGUUAUGUGAUAUGUUUCAUAUUUUAUGUAUAUGUAAAGACUGUUAAAUUCAGAAGACUAUAUAUAAGUGAUAACGUGCCAGGACGGCACUCUAUGAUUGAAGUAGUUGCAUUCUUUAUCACCUCAUUUUGUUUAUACAAUAAAACUUGUUUGAC
rnacentral:misc_RNA from 1 species